GACGGACGGUGCAAGCGUUGCUCGGAAUCACUGGGCGUAAAGGGUGCGUAGGCGGCUUGGUGGGUCUGGUGUGAAAGCCCCGGGCUCAGCCCGGGAAGGGCGCUAGAAACUGCCGAGCUGGAGUGCCGGAGGGGAGAGUGGAAUUCCUGGUGUAGCGGUGAAAUGCGUAGAUAUCAGGAGGAAUACCGGUGGCGAAAGCGACUCGCUGGACGGCAACUGACGCUGAGGCACGAAAGCGUGGGGAGCAAACAGG
rnacentral:rRNA from 1 species